rnacentral:tRNA from 1 species
GGAGACGUGGGUGAGUGGCUGAAACCAGCGGUUUGCUAAACCGCCGUACGGUGUAAAGCCGUACCGAGGGUUCGAAUCCCUCCGUCUCCGCCA